AAGCUAGUAACAACAACGGUUGCCUACGGCAGAACGAAAUCAGAAACUUUACACAUGUUUUGUUAUUUUGUGUUAUCCAGGUUGCAUAAGAAAGAAUACAGAACGGUGAUGUCUUUAGCAAAAUAUCAAGCUACUUAUAAAUAAAGAUACUGAAAGAUUUAUCAACAAGUAACGAGAAUGAUCGAAAAGUCGUAUUUCAAAUUAUACUCAUCUCAAAAUUAAAAAUGUUUAACAACAGAACAUUUUUAUAUGUGUUGCUCAUUCUUCCAUUUUUUCUUUCGUAAUAUAGCUUGUAUACGUAAAAUGACAUUUUUUAAACACAUCUGAAAGAUUUAUCGUGUAAUGGUGGCCCGGAUUUUCCAGGUUGUGUCCUAUGAAGACGACAGAGAGGAAGUAUUAUUAUAUUAUUACCCCUCACAUUCGUACUUAUCGUUCUUAUGUACAUAUUUUUUGUAACCACAGCGUGCAAGAGAUCACAGAUUAUAACAGUGACAUAUUUAUAAUUAUGUAAAUAGAGUCACCACAUAUGAUACCGUGACAAACGCGAGUAUCCUUUGGGGAGAAUCAACAUAACAAAAUAUUUAUGAUAGAAUCAUUGAGAGACUUAUCAGCAAGCAAUAGAAGAAAUCAAAGAUUACUAUCAUCUUAAUAUUUUUAAUAAAGAAGAUUUCUAAUAAAGAGGAAAUAGUUUAUUAAAUAUGUUAUAUUAUCCGUACUCAUUAGUUACGUUUUACCUUUCUCUUUCGUAUCAUAAUUUAUUCAUACAAAUAUAAAACAAUAUUUUUACGAUACACUUAAAAUUUCGUCCCGCUAAGUUAUUUACAGAGGCUAAUUAUAGCGCAGAAAACGAGUGAAAUAACUGUACGAUAAUAAUGGUGAGAAAAAUUUCCCGACAAUCCUUUCUGACUAAAAUUUCUCGUAAUUCUGUAGUUACAACGUGCAGUGGUACAGAUAGCAUCUAUUCAAGUACAGAAGAUGAUACUGUUUCUCUUACAAGGAGGCACCAAGCUAUUCAGUUGGACUCGGUUCAGUUGGUCGGUGAUUUGUUCGUAUUUUUGGAAAAUGCUGCUAGCAUAAAAGAAUGUAUUUGCAUUAGAAUAUGAACAGAUCGCGGCUGUUCGUCGUUUAAGAAGGACCGUCGAAGACCCGAAUGAAAGAUGAUAUUUUUCAUUCAUCGGUUGAUCAGCCGUAUCUUACUUCACCGUUCUUUACUUUACGCACCAGUGCCUAAAGAUUGUCAACUGAUAGACUAAUGAAUUAGCAUUAAAAGAAAUCUUAAUUAAAUAUCAACAAGGAUUGAUUAAAUACAAAAAGCAUCUUACCGAUAGAGUCGCAGGAAUGAAAAUAACUGCUGAGAGAAAAAACGUGAGAGUGAAUAUAAGAUUCAGACAUUUUCACUAAGAGAUUUUUAUUUUUUAAUUAGUUUAAUCAAUUCAAUUACUUUAAUCUGGGCGCCUAACCGGCAACGAGUUGGUGGUAUUUCGGUGGUAUGUUGGUUUUCGAAGUUGGCGAACUGAUAUUUCUCCAAAAGCAUCAAACGUGACUUACAAACGCGCACGCGACAGACUGAAGCACGUGGUGUUGCAUUCGAAGAGGAAACGCUCUCGCCUGCGUCGCUCGUGACAGAAUCACCCCUCCAAACAAUGUGUGUAUGUAUUGUAUGGGAAAUAAACAUCUGCCAAACUUCUUUCAGUACUGUAUCGAUCGCUCAAUUACACAACCCUUUCCGUAAAAAGCGUGCUAAGUCUCUAGUAUCAUUUUCUCACGAUGGUAUUUUCUCUCCUAUUUCUUCUCGCGCAACGUUUGCAUCAAAUUGCUUGGUUCAUGUUAGGAUUUCAGUCGGAGGAUGCAGAAAUAAAAUAUUCAAUGAAGCAAUCGUGAGGAGGGGAUAAGCGAAAUUUUGCCGGGCUCUCCGUUUUCAUAAGUGUCUCGAUGAUCGCGGAAAGAUGAUCUGUGUCGAAUUAUUGCACAUCGACCUCAACCGGCUUCUAUUGCUCGCUGUCGGCUUAUGGCCUUACCAGCAAUCCAAGCUGGUCCAGUUACAAUUGAUCUUGCUCUUCAGCAUUUUAACAACCUUUAUUUUAUCUCAGUUAACGUCGAUCGUGACCUCGGAAUAUACGUCGGAACUCCUCAUCAAUGUUUCCUCUACUACGUUAUUUUACAUUACUUUCGUCAUCAAGUACAGCUCAUUCAGAGUUAAUAUAGAAACUAUGAGACAUCUACUGGAAUUACUUCAGCGCAUCUACAACGAGCUACGAGAUGAGAAUGAGAUUAAUAUCAUGAGGAAAUAUGGGCAGCUCUCGAAGCGGUACACGGCUGCAAUUAUGAUAAUUGCUACGUGUACCACUACGUCUAUAAUCGCGUACUUAUUUUGUCCGCUUAUUCUCGAUAUCAUGCGACCCUUAAAUGAGACUCGACCGCAACCCUCGUUGGAAUUCGAAUACUUCGUCAAUCAAAAGAAAUAUUUUUAUCUGAUCUUGCUGCAUGCAAUCACAGCUUUUAUAGUGGGUGGACUCGCGAUGAUAUCAACGGGUGCGAUACUCAUAGCAUUUCUGCAGCAUGCCUGCGGAAUGUUUCGAAUCUCCAGCUACCGUAUCGAGCACGCGAUGGCAAUCGGGACCGUACAAAGCGGCAACGUGGGAAAUAACAAUAGGAUGUACAAAGGUCUCAUUUACGCCAUAGACAUCCACCGCAAAGCCAUGCAGUUCUCCGAUAUGUCAAUAUCCAAAUUCAAGGUAUCGUUUUUCCUCUUAAUAAUCGCCGGUGUGAUCUGCGGAAGUCUUAAUUUAUUCCGAAUUUUUCAGACGAUGACAGCAGUGCACAGUAACGUCGGGAUGUUAUUAAUACCUCUGGCGUUCAUCGUUAUCCACUUAAUGUACAUGAUCAUAGGCAAUUAUGUCGCGCAGGAGAUCAUGGAUCACAAUAACCACGUAUUCGCCACUAUAUAUGACGUUCGGUGGUACGUGGCGCCUUUGAACAUACAGAAAAUGAUAUUAUUCUUAUUGCAAAGAAGUACCAAAGUCUUUACUCUGAAUAUCGGUGGGGUGAUCGUGGGAUCGUUAGAAAACGCCGCCACGGUAAGAAAAAUUGUACUAAAAAUAUUUUCAGCUUCUUCGGAUGGACUAAUUGAAACAAGAAACGCAUGUCGUCGCAGAUGGUCAGCACCUCGGUAUCUUACUUCACCUUUCUUUACUCUACGUGGGACAAACGCAAGAUCUAGCACAAAAUGGGAUGAACGUUAGCGAAAGAAGCUUAGGUAAGCACAAAUAAUAUUUUCCAUGUAUAUAAUCUGUAUGUAAUCUGACAUCUGAAAAUAGACCUCACGCGCGUGACCUGGACGCAUUUGCCAAGAAAAUACGAGGGCAUGUAGAAAACAGAUAUACAUGCACACAUGUAUCACAUGGCAAUUGUCUUAUAUGUGAAAUUAUAGUAGUUGAAUUUGUGAGUUGUACCGUUGGAAAGUUUAUAGGUAAGACGUUAAUGCGUUAGGCUGAAGGACCAUCCUCGAUUGAGACGAGUAACAGCAACGGUUACUUACGGCAGGACGAAAUCGGAAACUUUACUCACGUUUCGUUAUUUUGCGUAAUCCAGGUCGCAAGUAGAAUUACAGGGAGGCAGACGUCGUAGAAACGUAAGGAAGAAUACAAAACCACGAUGUCUUCAGCAAGCCAAAGGUUUCGACGUGACUGACAGGAACAUGUACCGAGGUAAGGGAUAUGGGAGGCGCUUCGCUGCGUGAUGGCAACUGCACCUGCGCGGCCCUUCGAUCAACAAGUAGUCUUGCUGGUAUCUUUUUAAUGAGAAAUAAACGUUCGUUGAAAUUA
rnacentral:misc_RNA from 1 species